UGUCAGCCGGAGCGGGGGGCCGGGCGUCUCUGGGCUCGCCGCGAAGGCGCUGGAAGGUUCGCGUCGGCGGGGGCGUGGGUAUGGCGGGCCUCCGGCAACCGGAUAAAAAGCUCGUGGAAGCGGAGCCGAGCAGAUCCGAGCUGGGCAGGCAGGAGAGUCGCACCGCUGAGCGCACCUCCACGGCUGAGCCGCUCGAAGUUCCGCAGACUCCUGCAUUUGAAUCGGUAUCACACUCGUCCCAGAAGUGCGAGAAGCCACAGCCAUGUCCGCUGCAAGGGAAGUGGCCAUAGGCAUCGACCUGGGCACCACAUACUCAUGCGUGGGCAUGUUCCAGCAAGGCCAGGUGGAGAUCCUCGCCGACGACCAGGGCAACCGCACCACCCCCAGCUACUUGACUUUCACCGACACCGAGCGUCGGGUGGGCGAUGUGGCCAAGACCCAUGCGGAUCUGAACCCACACAACAGAGUGUUCCACGCCAAGUGACUGAUCGGGCGCAAGUUCGCAGACCCCACUGUGCAGUCGGACAUGAAGCACUGGCCCUUCCAGGUGGUGAGCGAGGGCAGCAAGCCCAAGGUGCGCGUGUCCUACCGCGGGGAGGGCAAGGCGUUCUACACCCCGAGGAGAUCUCGUCCGUGGUGCGGAGCAAGAUGGAGACAGCGGAGGCGUACCUGGGCCAGCCCCUGAGGCACGCUGUAAUCACGGUGCCCUCCUACUUCAGCGACUCCCAGCGUCAGGCCACCAAGGACGCGGGUGCCAUCGCGGGGCUCAACACGCUGAGGAUCAUCAACCAGCUCACGGCGGCUGUCACGGCCUAUGGCCUGGACCGGCAGGGCGCCGGAGAGCGCAACGUGCUCAUUUUCGACUUGGGUGGGGGCACCUUCCACGUGUCGGUCCUCACUAUCGACGCCGGUGUCUUUGAGGUGAAGGCCACGGCUGGAGACACUCAUCUGGGUGGAGAGGACUUCGACAACCGGCUGGUGAACCACUUCGUGGAGGAGUUCCGGCGGAAGCACGGGAAGGACUUGAGCAGGAACAAGCGGGCCCUGCGCAGGCUCUGUACAGCCUCUGAGCGCGCCAAGCGCACCCUGCCCUCCAGCACCCAGGCCACUCUGGAGAUCGAUUCCCUGUUUGAGGGCGUAGACUUCUACACUUCCAUCACUCGAGCCUGCUUUGAAGAACUGUGCUCGGACCUCUUCUGCAGCACCCUGGAGCCGCUGGAGAAGGCCCUAAGGGGUGCCAAACUGCACAAGGCCCAGAUCCCUGACACUGUCCUAGUGGGUGGCUCCACCCGCAUCCCCAAGGUACAAAAAUUCCUGCAGGACUUCUUCCAUGGCAGGGAGCUGAACAAGAGCAUCGACCCGUAUGAGGCUGUGGCUUAUGGGGCUGCUGUGCAGGCAGCAGUGUUGAUGGGGGACAAGUGUGAGAAGGUGCAGGAUCUCCUGCUGCUGGAUGUGGCUCCCCUGUCCCUUGGGCUGGAGACAGCUGGUGGGGUGAUGGCUACGCUGAUCCAGAGGAAUGCCACCAUCCCGGCCAAGCAGACCCAGACUUUUCACUACCUAUUCAGACAACCAGCCUGGGGUCCUGAUCCAGGUGUAUGAGGGUGAGAGGGCCAUGACUAGGGACAACAACCGGCUGGGAUACUUUGAGCUCAGGGGCAUCCCUCCUGCCCCACGUGGAGUCCCCCAGAUCGAGGUGACUUCUGACAUUGAUGCCGGUGGCAUCCUGAGUGUGACAGCCACUGACAGGAGCACAGGCAAAGCUAACAAGAUCACCAUCACCAAUGACAAGGGCCGGCUGAGCAAGGAGGAAGUGGGGAAGAUGGCUUGUGAGGCUGAACAGUACAAGGAUGUUCAGGAUGAGGAUGAGGCCCAGAGGGACAGGGUGGCUGCCAAAAACUCUCUGGAGGCCUAUGUCUUCCAUGUGAAGAGCUCUUUGCAAGAGGAGAGACUUAGAGACAAGAUUCCUGAAGAGGACAGGUGCGAAGUACAAGACAAGUGUCAGGAAGUCCUUGCUUGGCUGGAGCACAACCGGUUGGCAGAGAAAGAGGAAUAUGUGCAUCAGAAGGGGGAGCUGGAGCAUAUCUGUCACCCCGUCUUCUCCAGGCUCUACGGGGGGCCUGGUGUCCGUGGCGGUAGAAGUUGUGGAUCUCAAGCCCGACAGGGAACCCCCAGUACUGGCCCUGUCAUUGAGGAAGUUGAUUAAAUGGCCCCUCCUGGCAAGGCAGCUGUGACUGUAAGGGCUGGGCUUGUGGACUUUCUAGACUGUCUACUAUGAUCCUGCCUAUCUUGAGGGGUGGGAGUGGAGGAGAACCUUGCCCCCAAACAGGGAGUUUUAUUGGUCAGUAUGUUUUAUAACUGAGAUAUUUGCCAGUUGACUUUUAAAAAAUCUUCUUCUCCUACUUCAGACAAGCAGAAGUAAUCAUUAUGAACAUUUGUGUGGCACUUUAUCACUGCUUUUAUCUACAUUUAAUGUAUUUUGUUACUUGCAUGUAUGGAUUUUGUUAUGUGAAAUAAAAGAGCUAAAUAAACUUUUAAAGUUU